rnacentral:rRNA from 1 species
AACGAACGCUGGCGGCGUGCCUAACACAUGCAAGUCGAGCGAGAAAGCCCGCAAGGGUGAGUAAAGCGGCGCACGGGUGCGUAACACGUGGGUAAUCUGCCCUGAAGCCCGGAAUAACUCGCCGAAAGGCGUGCUAAUGCCGGAUAAGACCACGGGAACCGCGGUUCCUGCGGGAAAAGGUGGCCUCUGUACACCAGCUAUCCCUUCAGGAUGAGCCCGCGGCCCAUCCGCUAGUUGGCGGGGUAACGGCCCACCAAGGCUACGACGGGUAGCUGGUCUAAGAGGACGAUCAGCCACACUGGAACGGAGACACGGUCCAGACUCCUACGGGAGGCAGCAGUGGGGAAUCUUGCGCAAUGGGCGAAAGCCUGACGCAGCAACGCCGCGUGUGUGAUGAAGGUCUUCGGAUCGUAAAGCACUGUCGGGAGGGACGAAUAAGGUGCCGGCUAAUAUCCGGCGCUGAUGACGGUACCUCCAAAGGAAGCACCGGCUAACUCUGUGCCAGCCGCCGCCGUAACAC